rnacentral:tRNA from 1 species
GAGGAUGGCUUGCCAGCAGUGAAGACUGCUAAUCUUCACACCCUUAGUUGGAAUCUAGGGCUUCCUUG